rfam:Erysipelothrix larvae strain LV19 chromosome, complete genome.
UCAUACGUUAUCAAUAUACCAAAGACAGUAACGGGGAAACCUUAAUCAUGUUACCGAGGUUGAAGUUUGAAUGUAUAAAACUUUUUAACUCGUGUCUUGGAUACGAGUUUUUUAAAUGGGUGU